rnacentral:rRNA from 1 species
AGAGAGAGACAUGCGCGCAUAUCAAUAAGCGGAGGAAAAGAAACUAACAUAGGAUUCCCUUAGUAACGGCGAGUGAAGCGGGAAGAGCUCAAAUUUGAAAUCUUCAAGGUUCUACCUUGACGAAUUGUAGUUUAAAGAAGUGUUUUCUGUUGAAGUUUUGGUAAAAGUUCUUUGGAAUAGGACAUCAUAGAGGGUGAGAAUCCCGUACUUUGACCAUUAUUUCCUGCUGUGUGAUACACUUUCAAAGAGUCGGAUUGUUUGGGAAUGCAGUCCAAAAUGGGUGGUAAAUUUCAUCUAAAGCUAAAUAUUGGCGAGAGACCGAUAGCGAACAAGUACCGUGAGGGAAAGAUGAAAAGAACUUUGAAAAGAGAGUUAAACAGUACGUGAAAUUGUCAAAAGGGAAGCGUUUGACACCAGUGUUGUUUUCUCGAAAAUCAAUUAAAAAUGGCGGGAUUUUGUGUUGUAUUGACUUUAUCAGCUUUCUGCACUUUUUUCCUGUCUUUUUUAAUGCACUUUUCGUUUAACAAGUCAACAUCAAUUUCUUUUGUUGUAAAAGAGUCAUUGGAAGGUGGCUUUCACUUCGGUGAAAGUGUUUAUAGCCUUUGACUUCUGCAAUCGGAGAGAUUGAGGUCUGCAGCGUAGAUCCUUCGGGGUUAGAUACAUUUGUGCUAAGUUAUAGUUUUUCAUAGACAACAUGUUGACUAUGAUUAAUCAUGUAGCUUACUCGCUUAUGCUAUUUUACCUACGCUUAGGAUGUUGACAGCAGUAUAGACUGU